AGGACAUAUUCCUCACAGAAUUUGGAACAGUGCGCCUGGGUGGAUUUCAAAAAGCCCAUAAAAAUAGAAAAUCGUCCAGGUCAGCCACAAAUUCAGAUUCGCCAAAAUCAAUGAGUUAUAUGGCGCCAGAGUUCUUCACAAAGCAGACCUAUGAUGCUAAAAGUGAUAUUUGGUCACUGGGAUGCCUAAUGUAUCAGCUUUGUACUCAAAAAGCAGCG